UUUUAGAUUGUUUAGCACUUAAAAAUUGUUGUAAAGGUUUAAAAAAAUGAAAGUUAGUUAGCGAAAGAUCCGAUGAAUAAGAUAGGUGCGCCUAAAUUUCAUAUUUUCAUUCAUUUGAAAAAAUUGGGUUAGUAAUGAUGAAAAUACGUUUAAUCGAUCCAGCUUAUUUCGCUUGGUUAGUUAGUGCGGUAUCCACUUAUCCAUUUUUUUCACCUUGCCAAUUUCAGAAAGGUGUCGCAAUAUUGUUGUAUGAUCAAUUUUCAUUUUGGUAGGAAGUUCCCUUGCAGAUAAAGUUGAAUUCGUUUCUAAAUAUCGUUUUUCACGGACGUUUUGGGUCUUUGACGCGGUCCGUUUUGAAGGGAAAAUUCACGAGACCGAAGUUUUUCAAACCAACGAUGCACUUUAUCAGUAUUCUUCUCAAACGCCUGGUUUAUAUUGCGUGCAGAUUUUGCAGCAUUGUUACCAAGUUUAUACUCAUAUUAAAAAAUUACACGAAUGUCGGUUGAAUUCAUAUCCUUAUAAAAUUUAAAAAAAAAUUAAAAAAUAAAACAUUUUUGAGAAAAUCUGUUUUGUUGAAAUGUGACUCUGGCUGUCGACGGUACGACUAUAAACGAAGUUAUGCCAAAAAUAAAAAAUAACGAAAACAGGGAGGACAAACGUUCACAUUCCGUUUGCGCCCAGUAUUGAGCAUAGGCUUCCCUUAACGCAUGUUAAGGGUUUUUUUGGCCAUAACUCGCCACGCUGGCCAUACGAGUUGGCGAGUAUAAAAUUAUAGGAUAUUAAGAAAGGAGAAUUUGUGGGUUUGAAAGGAGAGUCAGGGAUAGGACAAUGGUUUCACUCGUAUGGUCUUGGGAGAUAAACCAAGGCCCGCGUAGGCAGGGACGCGUUCCUGAAGUAGAUCUGUCAACUAUCGGGUUCAUAGUUGAGUAUCUAUCCUCUAUCUAUUGUGUUAUAUUAUAUUAUAUAUAUAAAUUCAUCUUCGAAAACACCAAAGGACAAAAAUUAACAAUCGAUUACAUAAUAACAAACAGAAAUACACCCAACAAAAAUACUAGAUGUCAGAGUGCUGAGUUCAGCAAACGAAGGCACUAAUCAUAAUCUGGUACUGGCAAAAAUAAGGAAAAACAUGCUUAUCGCAAAAAACGAAAUUAAAAAAAGAAAACAAAGAACAACCGAGAGACUAAAUGUAGAAUCGAUAAGCGAUGAAACAAGGAAUUAAGAACUCUCGCUAAUAAAAUACUAGACGCAAAAAAGUGCCAGUGCAAUGGAAAGAGAUCAUAACAAUACCCAUAUUCAGAAAAGGGAAAAAGACAGAUACCAAGAAUUACCGCGGAAUUAGUCUCCUAAAUGCAGUACAGAAGUUGAUGACGAAAAUCCUGGCAAAAGAAAUAGAGCAGACAGUAAUAAGUGAAUGAUAGCAGGACCUUAACACGUUGAGCGCGGCGUCGGUCCCCAGGGACCGGCGUUAGACUUUUCGUUCGGCCGACAUCGGUCCGGCAGGACCGACAGUAUUAUAGUUUUGUUUUGUUUUUUCUGAAUGUAUCGCUCGCUCGCUGCCGGUAGAGCGGAAAGAUCAGAAAUAUUGGCACCGCUCUCAUCGUGUUAAACAGAACAGAUCCAUGGUGGACGCAAUCAUACUACGACAAAUAGCCAAAAAAUCAAUAGAAUUUAACAAACCAAUAUUCAUGUGCUUCGUUGACCUCCAGCAAGCGUUUGACAAAGUGAUGCUUAGGGAUGUACUACAGUUACUGAGAGCCAGAGGAGUAAACGGCAAUAUAAUAUAUACAAUAAAAGAACUUAACACCCAAAACACAACAAUAAUAAGAACGGGCAGUAUGACAACGAAAGUUGCGUAUCCUACGCAAACGAGUGAGUGUCGAGCGUCGAGACGUGUCGGGAUGUGUCGUGAUGUGUCGGGACGUGUCGGGACGUGUCGAGACGUGUCGAGACCUGCCGAAGCGCGACGACAUCCGCGAUAGGGAAACAUCGUAGUUCAGCGGUAAAACCAAGGAGCGCCGAGAUCCCUUUGUAAAGGCUCCUUCUUUCUUCUAGCACGCGUUCUCCCACCACAUCUAUUAGACCAAUCAUAUGCAUCGAUAGCUACGGUAUUUGUCUUUUCGGCAAUUGUUCCACGCAUUACAUCGCCAUUUCCCAUAAAGCCUGCGUUUUCUCGCGCCUAGUUCUAUUCUACCACGAGACCUACGAGAGAUUAUGUCGAAGAGAACUACUCUCUUGCGCAACGAUUACAUUAUCGAAGUACUACGAGCGACAAAGGACAAAGGCAGUCCUACACGUGAUCAGAGUUUAUUCUGCCUUUUGCAUAUGCAUCUCAUCACACGAUAGUCGCCGAUAGGCAAGCUAGCUGUAAAACAUUCAGUGUGUAUAUAAUUCAACCAGGGUUUUUAUGCCGCAAGGCUUUUCCCUGACUAACCAAAUAAAGUGUAUUCUUUAGUACUGGCUGGGCUUAAAAUAUAUUUGAUUUAUUUAUCCUAUUCCUUAUUCCCAUCAAAUAUACAACUCUCGAUAUUCACACGUGACGGCAUUUUCGAGUGAUAAUAAAAAACACUAGAAUACUGAUCAAAGCGUCGGUCGUUCACCAACGAAAAAGAUCCCAAUAAUAACCGGAAUCAGACAAGGAAACAGUCUAAGUCCGAUCCUUUUUAAUCUGAUCAUGGACGAAAUAAUCAAGGAGGUGAAAACAGCUGGAGAAGGAGUUAAGCUAGGAAAAGAAAAUAUAAAAAUAAUAUGUUACGCCGAAAGAAGACGCCAGUCAUCAUAUCAGCAGAUGAAGAUGAUCUGCAAAGGAUGUUAUACAAAUUCGAAAAAACGGCAGGAAAGCUUAAUAUGACUAUUUUGGUACAGAAGACCGAAUCACUCACCAUCUCCAAAGAGCACAGACGAUGCAAAUUAGCAGUAUAUAAUCAAAGUGUCAACCAAGUGAUGCGAUUUAAAUAUCUUGGUUCGAUCAUUACGAGCGACAGAAACCUAGAAGAGGAGGUAAGAGACCAAACAAACAAAGCCUCCAUAAUCUCUGGAUACCUCAGAGAUAUCAUAUGGAGAAACAAACAUAUGAGCAUCAAAAGCAAGACACAAAUAUACAAAACAAGACGCUACGAGCUAUAACAGGGAACUCACUAAAAGACAGAAGAAGAAACAAAGAGAUAAGAAAAGAAUGUGAGACCCAAGACGUAGUACGGUGGAUAAGAAGGAGAAGAAGAGAGUGGCGAGACUACGUAGACCACGUAGUCGUCGUAGGAACAACAAACACCUUGAAAAGAACUAUAUAGCUAAAGUAUAACAUGAAGUUCUAAUAAAAAGAA
rnacentral:lncRNA from 1 species